CAUAUGUAACAGAUCCUGGAUAGCAGGAUCUGUCCCAGGCACGCUCACAACUGCAGCUUACUAUGUCUGAUGCAAUGUGACUAGGUUCUCUAUCUUAGCAGUAGACUUGUCACACUUUUUUACUAUUACAUGUGUAUCUCAGAUUUAAAGGGACAUGUUACUGCUCAAAUAAAAAUCCUUGUUUAACAAGAAUAUGCCACAUGUGUUAUAUGCUAAUCAAGUCUUUCA